UUGAGAGUCGUCUGUACUUUUGGGAUAACGGUCGCUUACAGACUCGCCACUAUUAUUAUUUUAGGAUAAUAGGGUUAAAACCUAAUCUAAAAUCGCUUUCUACAUCCCUGUUGGUCGGGUGGUAAAAAGUUAACUCAAUAGGCCUUUACUAAGCAUGUAGACUUCUUGACUGAAAGUUUUCGGACGGGGGUUCAAUUCCCCCCAUCUCCACCA
rnacentral:tmRNA from 1 species